GUAGGUGAACCUGCGGAAGGAUCAUUAC
rnacentral:ncRNA from 15 species